rnacentral:rRNA from 1 species
ACUCCUACGGGAGGCAGCAGUGGGGAAUAUUGCACAAUGGGGGAAACCCUGAUGCAGCCAUGCCGCGUGUGUGAAGAAGGCCUUCGGGUUGUAAAGCACUUUCAGUAGGGAGGAAGGUAGUGUAGUUAACACCUGCAUUAUUUGACGUUACCUACAGAAGAAGCACCGGCUAACUCCGUGCCAGCAGCCGCGGUAAUACGGAGGGUGCGAGCGUUAAUCGGAAUUACUGGGCGUAAAGCGCAUGCAGGCGGCCUGUUAAGUCAGAUGUGAAAGCCCGGGGCUUAACCUCGGAAUUGCAUUUGAAACUGGCAGGCUAGAGUCUUGUAGAGGGGGGUAGAAUUUCAGGUGUAGCGGUGAAAUGCGUAGAGAUCUGAAGGAAUACCAGUGGCGAAGGCGGCCCCCUGGACAAAGACUGACGCUCAGAUGCGAAAGGCUGGGGGAGCAAACAGGAUUAGAUACCCUGGUAGCACA